CCUACGGUCUCUGCAGUGGGGAAUAUUGGACAAUGGGCGAAAGCCUGAUCCAGCCAUGCCGCGUGUGUGAAGAAGGCCUUCGGGUUGUAAAGCACUUUCAGUGGGGAAGAAAGCCUUGGGGCUAAUACCCUCGAGGAAGGACAUCACCCACAGAAGAAGCACCGGCUAACUCCGUGCCAGCAGCCGCGGUAAUACGGAGGGUGCGAGCGUUAAUCGGAAUUACUGGGCGUAAAGCGCGCGUAGGCGGUCUGAUAAGCCGGUUGUGAAAGCCCCGGGCUCAACCUGGGAACGGCAUCCGGAACUGUCAGGCUAGAGUGCAGGAGAGGAAGGUAGAAUUCCCGGUGUAGCGGUGAAAUGCGUAGAGAUCGGGAGGAAUACCGGUGGCGAAGGCGGCCUUCUGGACUGACACUGACGCUGAGGUGCGAAAGCGUGGGUAGCAAACAGGAUUAGAUACCCUUGUAGUC
rnacentral:rRNA from 1 species